AUCCGGUUUUGAGUGAGGCGUUACAGAAGGAGUGGGAUGAAGUUGCUCAAGCUCGAUAUGAAGAUCUCAUCACAGAACAGGGUUAUAAUAAGCUGCUGAAGGAGCUGUUUGAAGAGGCUGGUCUCCUGAGAAAAGCUCAACAGCCGAAAGCAGAGAAGAGCACGACGUCUCUCACACAUCAGAGUCUGGAGCAGUGCACACAGGAUUUUGAAAAGCAGAGCACUGAGAUAGAGCAGCUACAAUCACUCUUAACACAACAUAACAUCUCCUACCAGACGACAACAGGCAGGACACGGGAUCAGGGUCCCUUACCCGUCCAGGACCAGCACCUCCUCGGCGACACUGGCUUUAUCGCUGAUCUGCACUAAGAUGCCCAGCAGGAUCACAAAACAUACAGCUAAUCAUUCAGGGAAAUAAUGCUACUGUGAGAUAAUGGUAUUUAUUGAUUUUUAAAUUUGAUCUGACAAUGUAUUAUGAAAAAUAA